rnacentral:sRNA from 1 species
GUCCAACAGUUUUAUGCUGAGAACUCAGCGUUUAAUUUAGAGACAGCAGAGAUUGCGACAGACACCCAAUUACAAAAUUGUUCUUUCAGUUGUCCCUCCAGACGUAGGAGGUCGCUAGCUACAUAUCAUCCUCUGGUGGAGUGGAUCAAUCAUUACAAAGGUCUCCACGAAAUGAAGAAAAGGGACGUAACCACACAGCCGGGACCUAACAUUUAUCAUGGAUGUUGCAUUUCGCGCCACUAUUUUGUAAGUCCAGACUUUGGUAGUACCAUUAGUGGCACCAACUACUCGCUCGUCCAGUUUGAUAGUCGGCGACAAUACUUC